AUAUAUAUUUUUAUAUAUAUAUAUAUUUCUAAAAAAAAUGUCGUGAUCGGCCCAAUUUCUGAUCACAUGAUUGGAUCGGGACAUCCCUAGUGAAUAUGCCAUAACUCAUAACUCUCACAUGGCUGAAUUCAGCUGCUAAGACCAACAUCAGCCCUACAAACAGCAUUGCUGCUGAAUACCAUUUAAGAAAUUGGAAUCAACUUUAUUGAACAUCUGAGCAUACUCCAGGUCUUCUCAGGGUUUCGAAUCGACGCGCACUUUUCAACCAACAAGGGCAAGUGGUGAUAUAAAUGAGGACCGAGGAUGGCCUACCAUCUGGGUCGCCCCCUAUUGGACAGUUAAUAGGGGUGCAGGGUGGAGUGAGUAAGGAGGCAUGCUUCUGGAAGAGAUUGGUGAUUAGACUCCAGGUCUUAAGCGCUGCAAGCAGACCCUGGCGAUGCUGGAUCAUUCUUCUUGUUUGUUUGUAGCUGCUUGCUUCCUUGUUUUGGUCUAUUUUUACUUUGUACUCCAUCCUGAAAGAUGGACCUUUGUCGUGUCUGUAAUUGUAAGGUUAUUACUCAUUUGAAUGUAUAAUGCCGUGUUAAAACCAAACCCCGAAAUGUUAAAAUACGUGCUAAGGUGGGCAGAGUGGCCAAAACUUUUACUCAAUUAAGAGUUGUGUUACAUCAAAAUAAUGUUACUGAAGUAAAAGUAAAAUUAAUCAUCCAAAAAAUGUACUCAAGUACAAGUAAAAGUACCGGUAUUUGGUGAAAAGAAUACGUAAGUAAUGAGUAAUAUAAGGAGUAACUGCUUAAGAUGUUUGUUUUUCUUCUCAGCACAGUUAUCUAUAUGAACUGUUAUUAUUUUACUGCACUAAAGUAUAUUAUAUAAGCACAUUAAGUCAAAGGGGUAACAAAAAAAAAACAAAAAAACACUUAACUGGAUUGCAAAUGAAAUUUGCAUCUAAAAGGGGUUUACUGUGGGGAUAGGCACAUAGACUCUAAUAGAUAAAUAC